GCUUGCAUGCAAGCUUGCUGUUUAUUAGACAUGUUUUCGUUUGCUUUUUUUAAGCAAGUGCAAAAUCUCACGAUCAAGUAAACACUUGAUCGUGAGAUUUUGCACUUGCUUAAAAAAAGCAAACGAAAACAUGUCUAAUAAACAGCAAGCUUGCUGUUUCCA